rnacentral:misc_RNA from 1 species
GGCUUUUCCAUCACAUCCUGGGUAUAUUGGCCUUUACGCUUCCAGGAGAACAAUGGAUAUCUACCUGUUCAUGAAUAGCAAGGUCCUAUUCAAGACUGUAAGAAAAGAUGCUAAUCUGAAGAAGUUGAAACCAGUUAUAGUUCACGUUAACUAUCACCCGGACAAAUUUCCUAGAAUGAAAGCAGUUGUUGAGUACUAUGUCAACGGCAAGCAGGAUGCUCUGGAUGCAUUCCCAGAUGGUUCAGUAUAGUAGCAGCAGCUGAAAUGGACCUUUAAUUGAGAUCUAGGCCAGUGAUAUUCUAUGUCUUGCUAUUUGUCUUUUCAUACAGGUAGGCUCAGUUGAUUCCCCUUUUGGAUCAAUGUGUAAUACCAACCUCUUUUUUGAGAACUCAAUGUGUAAUACCAACUUCUUAUCAACUACAUUCAGAACUUGCAUCUCU